AUACAACUGUCAUGUAAAAUACGACAAAACAUAUGCUAUGAGUUUAAAUACAAAUAUUGUCAUCUAGACAAUAUCUACACUCAAAGGAGUCCUCAUUACAUUUAUUAUUACACUAUUUAACAGAAUAGUGAGGACUACUAAUGCUAUCAUCUGGACAGUCACUCCGUCCCCGACUCGUCCCAGCUAUAUUCUCAUUUCCC
rnacentral:lncRNA from 1 species